CUUUGCCUAUCAAGGCCUAAGGUUCUCGCUGCUCCCCCUUUGCUCCCCGCCUCCCCGGUGUUCUAGCUUCACUCAGGUUUUAAUUAUGCACAAUGUCGCGUGUAUCGCCGGCCAACCACAGAGCACCGCCGCCGACUAGCCAUGGAUGUUUGUCGAUCCCGAGUCGUUUAAAUUAUCAAAUAUCAGAAGAAUGGGUUUCAAUGUCCAAAGACCAGCAGGUUCUUUCACUUCUGGGCUAGUGGGAGACUCAUCACCCUUUGUUGUACUGCCUCAACCCCUUCUGAAAGUUUGGAAAUAAAUUUCAAAGUAAGCUCUGCCUUGGUGGAAAUCGUCCGGCGUAUAGGUACAAGGCCACGCUAUAUUCUCGCAAAGGGAGGGGCCCUUCACCAAAGAGGAGUUGGAUGAAGUUCGAGACAAGUGGGCUACUUACUUCAACGAUUGUGAAUUACCCUCAGUGUAAUAAUUAGAGAAGGCUUGUAGUUUUUCGUGACUCUUACAUUAUUUUGUUAUUUAUCGAUUUAAUUAAUUACAUUCGAAUUAAUUCGGAAAUAUUAUUGGA